AUUGAACGCUGGCGGCAGGCCUAACACAUGCAAGUCGAGCGGAUGAAGGGAGCUUGCUCCUGGAUUCAGCGGCGGACGGGUGAGUAAUGCCUAGGAAUCUGCCUGGUAGUGGGGGAUAACGUCCGGAAACGGGCGCUAAUACCGCAUACGUCCUGAGGGAGAAAGUGGGGGAUCUUCGGACCUCACGCUAUCAGAUGAGCCUAGGUCGGAUUAGCUAGUUGGUGGGGUAAAGGCCUACCAAGGCGACGAUCCGUAUCUGGUCUGAGAGGAUGAUCAGUCACACUGGAACUGAGACACGGUCCAGACUCCUACGGGAGGCAGCAGUGGGGAAUAUUGGACAAUGGGCGAAAGCCUGAUCCUGCCAUGCCGCGUGUGUGAAGAAGGUCUUCGGAUUGUAAAGCACUUUAAGUUGGGAGGAAGGGCAGUAAGUUAAUACCUUGCUGUUUUGACGUUACCAACAGAAUAAGCACCGGCUAACUUCGUG
rnacentral:rRNA from 1 species